AUUGAACGCUGGCGGCAGGCCUAACACAUGCAAGUCGAGCGAGCGGCGGACGGGUGAGUAAUGUCUGGGAAACUGCCUGCUGGAGGGGGAUAACUACUGGAAACGGUAGCUAAUACCGCAUACCAUCAGAUGUGCCCAGAUGGGAUUAGCGCGUGGGUGGGGUUAUGUCUCACCUAGGCGACGAUCCCUAGCUGGUCUGAGAGGAUGACCAGCCACACUGGAACUGAGACACGGUCCAGACUCCUACGUGAGGCAGCAGUGGGGAAUAUUGCACAAUGGGCGCAAGCCUGAUGCAGCCAUGCCGCGGUUGUGAAUAAGGCCUUCGGGUUGUAAAGCACUUUCAGCGGGGAGGCGUUACCCGCAGAAGAAGCACCGGCUAACUCCGUGCCAGCCGCCGCGGUAAUAC
rnacentral:rRNA from 1 species